CAUACCUAUUCGAAGGGAUAGGGUCGGUUCGGCCGGAUUUUACACAAGUGUUGCAUGGCUGUCGUCAGCUCGUGUCGUGAGAUGUUGGGUUAAGUCCCGCAACGAGCGCAACCCUCAUCCUUAGUUGCUAUCAGGUAAUGCUGAGUACUUUAAGGAAACUGCCAGUGAUAAGCUGGAGGAAGGUGGGGAUGAUGUCAAGUCAUCAUGGCCUUUAUGGAGUGGGCUACACACGUGCUACAAUGGUGUCUACAAUGGGCUGCAAGGUGCGCAACCUAAGCUAAUCCCUAAAAGACAUCUCAGUUCGGAUUGUACUCUGCAACUCGAGUACAUGAAGUUGGAAUCGCUAGUAAUCGUGGAUCAGCAUGCCACGGUGAAUACGUUCUCGGGUCUUGUACACACUGCCCGUCACGCCAUGGGAAUUGGUUUCACUCGAAGCU
rnacentral:rRNA from 3 species